UUGGGCGUAAAGCGUAUGUAGGCGGCCGAUCAAGUCAGACGUGUAAGCCCCCGGCUCAACCGGGGAAUUGCGUUUGAUACUAUUCGGCUUGAGUUCGGGAGAGGAAAGCGGAAUUCCCAGUGUAGCGGUGAAAUGCAUUGAUAUUGGGAAGAACAUCUGUGGCGAAGGCGGCUUUCUGGUCCGAUACUGACGCUGAGAUACGAAAGCCAGGGUAGCGAACGGGAUUA
rnacentral:rRNA from 1 species